rnacentral:rRNA from 1 species
GGGGCCUACGGGACGCAGCAGUAGGGAAUAUUGCUCAAUGGGGGAAACCCUGAAGCAGCAACGCCGCGUGGAGGAUGAAGGUUUUCGGAUUGUAAACUCCUUUUGUUAGAGAAGAUAAUGACGGUAUCUAACGAAUAAGCACCGGCUAACUCCGUGCCAGCAGCCGCGGCAAUAUGGAGGGCGCAAGCGUUACUCGGAAUCACUGGGCGUAAAGAGCGCGUAGGCGGGAUAGCAAGUCAGAUGUGAAAUCCUAUGGCUUAACCAUAGAACUGCAUUUGAAACUGUUAUUCUAGAGCAUGG